CUUAACAUGCAGUCGACGGAAAGGCCCUGCUUUUGUGGGGUGCUCGAGUGGCGAACGGGUGAGUAACACGUGAGUAACCUGCCCUUGACUUUGGGAUAACUUCAGGAAACUGGGGCUAAUACCGGAUAGGAGCUCCUGCUGCAUGGUGGGGGUUGGAAAGUUUCGGCGGUUGGGGAUGGACUCGCGGCUUAUCAGCUUGUUGGUGGGGUAGUGGCUUACCAAGGCUUUGACGGGUAGCCGGCCUGAGAGGGUGACCGGCCACAUUGGGACUGAGAUACGGCCCAAACUCCUACGGGAGGCAGCAGUGGGGAAUAUUGCACAAUGGGCGGAAGCCUGAUGCAGCAACGCCGCGUGCGGGAUGGCGGCCUUCGGGUUGUAAACCGCUUUCGCCUGUGACGAAACGUGAGUGACGGUAAUGGGUAAAGAAGCACCGGCUAACUACGUGCCAGCAGCCGCGGUGAUACGUAGGGUGCGAGCGUUGUCCGGAUUUAUUGGGCGUAAAGGGCUCGUAGGUGGUUGAUCGCGUCGGAAGUGUAAUCUUGGGGCUUAACCCUGAGCGUGCUUUCGAUACGGGUUGACUUGAGGAAGGUAGGGGAGAAUGGAAUUCCUGGUGGAGCGGUGGAAUGCGCAGAUAUCAUGAGGAACACUAGUGGCGAAGGCGGUUCUCUGGGCCUUUCCUGACGCUGAGGAGCGAAAGCGUGGGGAGCGAACAGGCUUAGAUACCCUGGUAGUCCACGCUGU
rnacentral:rRNA from 1 species